rnacentral:rRNA from 1 species
CCUACGGGUGGCAGCAGUGAGGAAUAUUGGUCAAUGGACGAGAGUCUGAACCAGCCAAGUAGCGUGAAGGAUGACUGCCCUAUGGGUUGUAAACUUCUUUUAUAUGGGAAUAAAAUGUUCCACGUGUGGGAUUUUGUAUGUACCAUAUGAAUAAGGAUCGGCUAACUCCGUGCCAGCAGCCGCGGUAAUACGGAGGAUCCGAGCGUUAUCCGGAUUUAUUGGGUUUAAAGGGAGCGUAGGUGGAUUGUUAAGUCAGUUGUGAAAGUUUGCGGCUCAACCGUAAAAUUGCAGUUGAAACUGGCAGUCUUGAGUACAGUAGAGGUGGGAGGAAUUCGUGGUGUAGCGGUGAAAUGCUUAGAUAUCACGAAGAACUCCGAUUGCGAAGGCAGUUCACUGGACUGCAACUGACACUGAGGCUCGAAAGUGUGGGUAUCAAACAGGAUUAGAUACCCUUGUAGUC